UACGAAGGUGGCAAGCGUUACUCGGAAUUACUAGGCGUAAAGGGCAGGUAGGUGGUUUAAUAAGUCCGUUGUGUCAGCUCCUGGCUUAACUGGGAGAGGUCAAUGGAAACUAUUAGACUUGAGUAUAGGAGAGGGUACUGGAAUUCCCGGUGUAGCGGUGAAAUGCGCAGAGAUCGGGAGGAACACCAAUGGCGAAGGCAGGUACCUGGACUAUUACUGACACUCAGCUGCGAAAGCUAGGGGAGCAAACAGGGAUUAAGAAACCCGGG
rnacentral:rRNA from 1 species